rnacentral:tRNA from 1 species
UCCCUGGUAGUAUAUCGGCUAGUACACCCGCCUGUCAUAAAGACAGGCGCGCGGGAGAGCGGGGUUCGACUCCCCGCCAGGGAG